UAGAGAGGUUAUUUGGGCCAAGUUUGAAGAUUGCAACCCGGGAGCAUAGCUUCAAGUUGCCCUGAACAUAGGAUUUGCAACAGUGACAAAGGUGAGGCCAGAGAAGUGACAAGACAGAUGCCAGUCCAGCAGGUGGGCAUGUCCAGAAAGUGCAGCCUCAGGACACGGUCUGGGAACAAAGACUGCUGGAGAGUUGGAAGCUGGCAAGAGGCUCUCAGCUGUGAAGUACCUGGGGUGGGGGAGAAGUGGUCGGAGAAAGCAGAGAACACAAUUGAAGGCACUGGUUAUUCUAGCAAGGCUUUGACUGGAAUGGCAUAUUUUCAGAUAUGACCAGACUGCUCUGAGGAAUUCAGGUUGGCUUUAUAGAGUCAAUAAAAAGCUACCUGGAAAGAGUGGCCAUGUACCUUAUCUAUACAGUUCCCUUACAAGGUUCCUGAUCUUGAGACAUUUGGCUUCACUUGAACCUGUGUUUGAAGCUUUAGUGAACAUUGUCUUUGGGAGUAAGAAGUACUAGAAAAUUUAUGGUGCGUGAGGGUGCCCGGCUGAGAGCAGACAAACCGCCUAGCAGGUGGCUUUUCAAGCGGAAUCACAGACUAGCUCCAUCGCUGUGGUGAACGUUCUCCCCAGUGCCAGGAUUCCACUUGGCCCCUGACUGCUUGAGCAGCCGAUGUGACAGCCAUCUCUCUGCUGCCGUGCAUGUCGGCUGGGCUGGAGCCAGUGCAUCAGGAAGUAGACGCAGAAGUGGAUCAGGAGCAAAACAUUCCUGAGAGCUGGCAGAAGCUGGCGUCUGGAGCCGCUGGGAUGCGGGUAUGGGCUCUCUCAGUGGCGGAGGAACAGCCUCCUGGCAGAACCAAAGGUUGCUUUGUGCCUUCGAUGCUGCUGCUGGCCAGAGUGGUUUUCUGUCUCAGACCCUGUACCACGUGUCUGUUCUUUCUCAUUUUUUACUUAAAGGAGAAGAAAAUGAUUAUGUGUA
rnacentral:lncRNA from 1 species